rnacentral:lncRNA from 1 species
CCCAAGAGGCACAGCCAAGCAGGUCUAGGCACAUUUGCAUCCCUUCCCCAGGCCUGCUGGGACUUCAUAUGGCUCUGGUGUGGCUGUUAAUUAUAGCAAACACAGUCAUAGCUGGAGAGUUCUCCUGUGGCCUCAUUGGGCCGAAGGCUAAAAAGAUGUCUCGGGUGGUGGCCGAAUAACUUAAGCCCAGUGAUGCGAGAGUGCUCUGUUUACUGAAGUGAAGCCCUUCUGGGGAGAAUCCUGCCAGAGACCACGGAGACUCCAAAGAGUGGGUGGAAGAGGCCAUUGUUCAACUGGGAAGCUAGCUCUGUCAGUAAAGGGCUUGCUCCAAGGGGACCUGAGUUUGAUCCCCAGGAUUCAGGUGAAAACAGGCUGUCAGUGCUGGGGAGGUAGGACAGAUGGAGCACUGGGACCUACCUAGCUUAUUUGGUGAGUUCUCAGGGGUGGAGAGACCAACUCCAAAAACAAUGUGGAUGACACCUGAGGGUGUACAACUGAGGUUGGCCUCUGACCACCACAUCCACCACUAUUGUUGCACACACAGACAUACCUACACAUGUGAACCAACACAAAUGCACAUAUAUCACCAAGGGGUUACUCAGCCUGGUCAAGGAGGAAAAAUGGCUUGUUUUUGUUUGUUUGUUUUUAUGGCAAUUAUGUCUGAGGUAUCAGGCAGCGACAUUUGAAGAUUAUAAGCAGAUACCCACCGUAGGGCAGACGGAUGAAUGUGUUUGGAGGAUCCUGGCAAGCUUGCUUCUGUACCACCAGGUUCCGUGCCUCCUUCCGCAUGCCACUCAGCCUAUGAACCCUGC